AGAGUUUGAUCAUGGCUCAGGGCUAACGCUGGCGGCGUGUCUUAGCCAUGCAAGUCGAGCGGACUUAUGGGGUAACUUAUAAGUCAGCGGCGGACGGCGGAGUAACACGUAGCUAACCUACCCUCUGGACGGGGAUAACCUACCGAAAGGUGGGCUAAUACCCGAUGUAGUCAUCCUGUAUAGGGGUGAUGAAAGGUGGGCUUCUGUUUACAAGCUCAUGCUGGAGGAGGGGGCUGCGGCCUAUCAGGUAGUUGGUAGGGUAAUAGCCUACCAAGCCGAUGACGGGUAGCCGGCCUGAGAGGGUGACCGGCCCGAGGGGCACUGAGAUACGGGUCCCACUCCUACGGGAGGCAGCAGGCUAGAAAUUUGGGCAAUGGGGGAAACCCUGACCCAGUGACGCCGCGUGCAGGAAGGAGCCCUUCGGGGUGUAAACUGCUGUCGUGUAGGGAGAAGGGUACUAAGGUGAACAAUCUUAGUACUUGACGGUACUACAGGAGGAAGCCCAGGCUAACCUCGUGCCAGCAGCCGCGGUAAUACGGGGUGGGCGAGCGUUGCCCGGAAUUACUGGGUUUAAAGGGGGUGUAGGCGGUCUGGAUAGUCGGGUGUGUAAUGCAAUCGCUCAACGAUUGAGCUGCAUCUGAUACUUCCAGGCUAGAGGGCGGUAGAGGAGAGCGGAACUCCCGGUGUAGCGGUGAAAUGCGUAGAUAUCGGGAGGAACGCCGGUGGCGAAGGCGGCUCUCUGGGCCGUUCCUGACGCUGAGGCCCGAAAGCUGGGGGAGCGAAAGGGAUUAGAUACCCCUGUAGUCCCAGCCGUAAACGAUGGGCACUAGGUGUACCUUUUAACGGAGGUAUACCGUCGGGAAAACCAAUAAGUGCCCCACCUGGGGAGUACGCCCGCAAGGGUGAAACUCAAUGAAUUGACGG
rnacentral:rRNA from 1 species